UACGAGGGGUGCAAGCGUUGCUCGGAAUUAUUGGGCGUAAAGGGUAGGUAGGUGGUCUCAUUUGUCUUGUGUGAAAUCCUUGGGCUUAACUCAAGAAGUGCGCAAGAAACGGUGAGACUCGAGUCCUAGAGAGGGUCGUGGAAUUCCCGGUGUAGCGGUGAAAUGCGUAGAGAUCGGGAGGAACACCAGAGGCGAAGGCGGCGACCUGGAUAGGUACUGACACUCAACUACGAAAGCGUGGGGAGCAAACAGG
rnacentral:rRNA from 1 species